CUCCCCUCCCACGAACAACAAAGAUCUCCUGAUUAUUGUAAGCAAAUUGAGUCCUCUCUCCAUCUUCCGAUGCUACUGCCGUUCCUGUCUCUGUGCUUGCUGCUGUCCUGGGGUUUGCUACUCAGAAUGGAUGCUUCCACCUCAGAAGGACAAAAAAGAGGACGAGAUCAAAGGGACAAGGGGAAGAUUGAUAAAAAACACUCAAGCACAAAGGGGAACCUUCCACUGAGAGCCAAAAUGUAGUUCUACUAAACAUCUCAGAGCCUAAAUUAUGAUCAGGCCCCCAUUAUUCCAGGCAUUGCAGAAACACAAAGGGCCAGCUUAAGGCCGAUUCCGCUAAUUCCCCAGAACUGGGCACCGCGCCUAAGAGGGUCCCGCUCCCCCAGCCGGAGCACAGCAAGCCCCGCAGCCCCACUCCCCUGGCUGGAGUGCAGCAAGCCCUGUGGACCCGCUCCCCCGGCCAGAGCGCCGGCCAGAGCCCUGCAAGUCCCGCGGCACCGCAACCCCGGCCGGAGCGUGGCAAUCCGAAGUGCCACUGAAGACUCGGAGUGCCACCCGGAAUGACUGAUAUUUGGAAAAUAUUUUCUAAGGACAAAAGGCCCUAGAAGUUUGGAUCCUGAUAUGUUUUCGUGUGAAAAGAGGAAGUAUUUUUACUCAUGCUUAAUUACUGGAGAAUUAUUAAGAUCUUUUGUGUGUGUGUCUCAAGUUGAACACCCAAAAACUGAGACAUCCAUAGUUGCUAAUCACUUUUGUAAAUCUUGAGCCCCAAACUAUUCAUACUACAAUGCUGCAUUGCUCUUGCGCUAUGGCCCUCUUGAUCUGUGUUAUUAAAGCAUGUCUUGCUAUUACACUGAAAUCACUGGGGGAGGAGGGCUCACUUUAAAAGCUUAGCAGUGGACAUGUACAAUUACUGCAUGACAAGCAAUAUUAUAUUAUGGACUGAGAAGGGGAGAAAAUAUAACUAGCUCAAAAGAGAAAACAUUUUGGUUCAAUGCUGUUAUUUGAAAAUAAUAGUGUCUGAUGCUCCUUGCACAAAGCAUUACCAUUCAGACUAUGGUGGGAAUGACUCUUAACACGGAUCAUCAUCUGGGACAAAAUGUACAAGCUACUCUUUAGUAACAACAUCCCCGAGCAGCAAGACUUGGCACGCCACAGAGUAGCUGCACAAAGUCAGUCUCAGUCCAAUUAAUCCUCACAUACCUUCUCAUCUCCAUCCUCCUCUUUUGCUGCUUCUACUUCACCCAGAAAGCCAAAGGAUUAGUUAAAUUUAGACACACUCAAAUACUUUUUGUUCUUUUUAUGACUCCUUUUGUGAAUGUUUCCUCCUUUUCAGAUAUACGCACCAAGAGAAAAAGAGCAGAAGAACAAGGCAAAAUAGUUAUAUAAAAGAGAAAGCAUAUUCCAGAUGGUGGAGAGAAGAGUUUCUAAUCAAAUUCAGUAGAAGUGUCAGUGUGAAGUAAUUAUAUUGUAUAUUAUGAGGCCUUCACGUGAAAUCUGCUGGGGACAGAGAAGUUACUGGAUCAAGAGCCUGAUUCCAAGAGGUGCUGAGCACGCGUAGAUACCAUUGCAGUCAGUGACACUCUACACUUAAUCAGGAUCAGGCCCCAAGUAAUUAAACAGCUGAAAUUUUACCCAUCAUUUAGGAGUAAUAUAUACAGCCAAUCCUACGACAGAUGGUACAUUCAUGGUACAGACAAUUGGUGGAAAAGAACCUGGAGGGAAACGUCGGGCACAGAGGGGCAUUCCUUGAUUUGCAGAAAGCACCUGACAAAGUACCUAGGCUACUUCUGAGGCCUCUGCUACAAUUCUGUGGGCAGGGCUGGCUCCAGGUUUUCUGCCGCCCCAAGCAGCAAAAAAUAAAAAACAAAAGCUGCAGCAGCACAAUCGCGCCAUUCCACUCUUCAGCAGCAAUUUGGUGGCAGGUCCUUCGCUCCGAGCGGGACUGAAGGACCUGCCACCAAAGCGGACGUGCCGCCCCAAUAGUGGCCGGAGUGCUGCCCCUUGGUAUUGGCCGCCCCAAGCACCUGCUUCUUUAGCUUGUGCCUGGAGCCGGCCCUGUCUGUGGGAUACCAGAGGACCUUCUCCAGAUGGUGAUGAGUUUGUAUAAUGGUUCCAUAACAAAAGUGAACAACCUUUGGUGUAAUGGAGGGCUUCAAGAUGAACAUUGGAGUCCCCCAAGAAUCUGCACUUAGUCUAUUACUAUUCAUAAUUGUGGUGGACUUCAUAAGUAAGCAAAUCCAAAUGGAUGGUCGUAUGAAGUUGAGCUAUGCAGAUGAAAUUGUGCUAAUGGUGGAUACUGAGGAAGAUUUGGUCCCAGCAAUUGAUUCCUGGAAUAGGGAACUAACAAACUAUGGCCUCAAAAUGAGUAAAGAAAAGACAGAAGUCAUGUGGGUGACCCAUGCAGAACCAAGAUAAGUGAACAUCAACAUCGAGGGCCAGCACCUACACACGCUUUCUGCAUUUAAGUAUCUUGGAGAUGGAUUAGUGGUAAAUGGAGAAAUCGACAGAGAAUUGCAAGCAAGACUGUUGAGCAUGAAGGAAGAAUAACACAAGACUCCAUACCACGGCAAGCAUGGAGCUCGCUCAGCUCAAGACAGCAGUCAUGAACAUUGUAAACACCUCGCGCAUUCUUAUGCAGUUUAUGCUGAGCCAGGACCAGAAAAACGAGGCGAGGAAGCGGCGGCGAUGGCAGCACAGCGACAAGCGUGAUGAGGACAUGGACAUGGACACAGAAUUCUUUCAAACCGUGGGCCCCGUGCUUUGGAGAUCAUGUUGUUAAUGGGGCAGGUUCUAUCCGUGGAACGCCGAUUCUGGGCCCGGGAAACAAGCACAGACUGGUGGGACCGCCUAGUGUUGCAGGUGUGGGACGAUUCCCAGUGACUGCAAAACUUUCGCAUGUGUAAGGGCACUUUCAUGGAACUUUGUGACUUGCUGUCCUCUGCACUGAAACGCCAGAAUACCAAGAGGAGAGCAGCCCUCACAGUUGAGAAGUGAGUGGCGAUAGCCCUGUGGAAGCUUGUGACACCAGACAGCUACUGGUCAGUCGGGAAUCAAUUUGGAAUGGGCAAAUCUACUGUGGGGGCUGCUGUGAUGCAAGUAGCCAAAGCAAUCACUGAGGUGCUGCUACGAAAGGUAGUGACUCUGGGAAAUGUGCAGGUCAUAGUGGAUGGCUUUGUUGCAAUGGGAUUCCCUAAAUGUGGUGGGGCGAUAGAUGGAACCUAUAUCCCUAUCUUGGCACCGGAGCACCAGGGUACCCAGUACAUAAGCCGCAAGGGGUACUUUUCAAUGGUGCUGCAACCACUUGUGGAUCACAAGGGACGUUUCACCAACAUCAACGUGGGCUGGCCGGGAAGGGUUCAUGAUGCUCGCGUCUUCAGGAACACUACUCUGUUUAAACGGCUGCAGCAAGGCACUUACUUCCCGGACCAGAAAAUAACCGUUGGGGAUGUUGAAAUGCCAAUAGUUAUUCUUGGGGACCCAGCCUACCCCUUAAUGCCAUGGCUCAUGAAGCCAUACACAGGCAGCCUGGACAGGAGUCAGGAGCUGUUCAACUACAGGCUGAGCAAGUGCAGAAUGGUAGUAGAAUGUGCAUUUGGCCAUUUAAAAGGUCGCUGGUGAUCGUUACUGACUCGCUCAGACCUCAAUAUCCCCAUUGUUAUUUCUGCUUGCUGUGUGCUCCACAAUCUCUGUGAAAGUAAGGGGGAGACCUUUAUGGCGGGGUGGGAGGCUGAGGCAAAUCACCUGGCUGCUGAUUACACGCAGCCAGACACCAGGGCGAUUAGAAGAGCACACCAGGAAGCGCUGUGCAUCAGAGAAGCUUUGAAAACCAGUUUCAUGACUGGCCAGGCUACAGUGUGAAAUUUCUGUUUGUUUCUCCUUCGUGAAAACCCGCCCCCUUUAUUGACUCAUUCUCUGUAAGGAACCCACCCUCCCCUUUCCCCCAGCUUGCUUUCAAAGGAAAUAAAGUCACUAUCGUUUAAAAAUCA